rnacentral:rRNA from 1 species
CGGUACCCCACCGCGCGAAGGUAGCAUAAUCACUUGUUCUUUAAAUAGGGACUCGUAUCAACGGCAUCACGAGGGCUAAACUGUCUCCUCUUUCUAAUCAAUGAACCUGACCUCUUCGUGAAGAGGCGAAGAUACUUAUAUAAGACGAGAAGACCCCAUGGAGCUUAAAACUAAAUAACACCCUCUUACAUAAUAGACCAUAAUAAAUAAGAAUCCUGUUAGACGUUUUUGGCUGGGGCAUCCAAGGAGUAUAAUGAAACCUCCCUGACGAAUUUACCUUCGAACUACAAUUCUAAGGUAUAGAAAACUAAAGUAAUAUGACCCGACAAUCGAUCAACGAACCAAGUUACCCUGGGGAUAACAGCGCAAUCCAUUUUGAGAGCCCCUAUCGACAAAUGGGUUUACGACCUCGAUGUUGGAUCAGGGCAUCCCAGUGGUGCAGCCGCUACUAAAGGUUCGUUUGUUCAACGAUUAAAGCCCUACGUGAUCUGAGU